GGCUCAAGUCCAAGUCAAGUCACAAGUCAUUGAUGUUAAAGUCUAAGUCGAGUUGCAAGUCGUUUUACAUUUUGUCAAGUCGAGUCUAAAGGCUUCACGGUGGCAGAGGGGUUAGUGCGUCUGCCUCACAAUACGAAGUUCCUGCAAUCUUGGGUUCAAAUCCAGGCUCGGGAUCUUUCUGUGUGGAGUUUGCAUGUUCUCCCCGUGAAUGCGUGGGUUCCCUCCGGGUACUCCGGCUUCCUCCCACUUCCAAAGACAUGCACCUGGGGAUAGGUUGAUUGGCAACACUAAAUUGGCCCUAGUGUGUGAAUGUGAGUGUGAAUGUUGUCUGUCUAUCUGUGUUGGCCCUGCGAUGAGGUGGCGACUUGUCCAGGGUGUACCCUGCCUUCCGCCUGAUUGUAGCUGAGAUAGGCGCCAGCGCCCCCCGCGACCCCGAAAGGGAAUAAGCGGUAGAAAAUGGAUGGAUGGAUAUAUAUAUAUAUAUA